rnacentral:rRNA from 1 species
GACAUCAGGAGGUUAGUGCAAUGGCAUAAGCCAGCUUGACUGCGAGCGUGACGGCGCGAGCAGGUGCGAAAGCAGGUCAUAGUGAUCCGGUGGUUCUGAAUGGAAGGGCCAUCGCUCAACGGAUAAAAGGUACUCCGGGGAUAACAGGCUGAUACCGCCCAAGAGUUCAUAUCGACGGCGGUGUUUGGCACCUCGAUGUCGGCUCAUCACAUCCUGGGGCUGAAGUAGGUCCCAAGGGUAUGGCUGUUCGCCAUUUAAAGUGGUACGCGAGCUGGGUUUAGAACGUCGUGAGACAGUUCGGUCCCUAUCUGCCGUGGGCGCUGGAGAACUGAGGGGGGCUGCUCCUAGUACGAGAGGACCGGAGUGGACGCAUCACUGGUGUUCGGGUUGUCAUGCCAAUGGCACUGCCCGGUAGCUAAAUGCGGAAGAGAUAAGUGCUGAAAGCAUCUAAGCACGAAACUUGC